AUUGAACGCUGGCGGCAGGCCUAAUACAUGCAAGUCGAACGAGUGGCGGACGGGUGAGUAAUGUCUGGGAAACCGCCUGAUGGGGGGGGAUAACUACUGGAAACGGUAGCUAACACCGCAUACCAUCAGAUGUGCCCAGAUGGGAUUAGCUGGUUGGUGGGGUAACGGAUCACCGAGUCGACGAUCCCUAGCUGGUCUGAGAGGAUGACCGGCAACACUGGUACGGGGACGCGGACCAAACUCCGACGGGAGGCAGCGGUGGAGAAUAUUGCGGAGUGGGCAGUAGCGUGUAGCGGCCAUGGCGCGAGUACGAGAAGCGCCUUCGGGGUGUGGAGUACUAUCAUCGGGGAGGCGGUACCCGCAGAAGAAGCACCGGCUAACUCCGUGCCAGCAGCCGCGGUAAUUC
rnacentral:rRNA from 1 species